rnacentral:rRNA from 1 species
AUUGAACGCUGGCGGCAGGCCUAACACAUGCAAGUCGAACGGUAACAGGAAGCAGCUUGCUGCUUUGCUGACGAGUGGCGGACGGGUGAGUAAUGUCUGGGAAACUGCCUGAUGGAGGGGGAUAACUACUGGAAACGGUAGCUAAUACCGCAUAACGUCGCAAGACCAAAGAGGGGGACCUUCGGGCCUCUUUCCAUCGGAUUUGCCCAGAUGGGAUUAGCUAGUAGGUGGGGUAACGGCUCACCUAGGCGACGAUCCCUAGCUGGUCUGAGAGGAUGACCAGCCACACUGGAACUGAGACACGGUCCAGACACCUACGGGAGGCAGCAGUGGGGAAUAUUGCACAAUGGGCGCAAGCCUGAUGCAGCCAUGCCGCGUGUAUGAAGAAGGCCUUCGGGUUGUAAAGUACUUUCAGCGGGGAGGAAGGGAGUAAAGUUAAUACCUUGGCUCAUUGACGUUACCCGAAGAAGAAGCACCGGCUAACUCCGUG